UACGGGAGGCAGCAGUGGGGAAUAUUGCACAAUGGGGGGAACCCUGAUGCAGCGAUGCCGCGUGAAGGAUGAAGUAUUUCGGUAUGUAAACUUCUAUCAGCAAGGAAGAAAAAGGACAGUACUUGACUAAGCAGCCCCGGCUAACUACGUGCCAGCAGCCGCGGUAAU
rnacentral:rRNA from 1 species